UGCUGCUGUGGAACCCUCUCCAAUUACUUGAACCUCGCCUUUUACUAGAUUCAACCGGGUUGGUUCCACAUUUAGAGCAGCAUGACACACUUUUUUGCACUGGUUUCCUUCGAAAUCA